AGCCAAGCCUGUUAUGGCCUUAAUUAAGUUUACUCUUGGCUAAUCCACACCCGUUUUACUGCUACCAUUUCGAGCCGGGGGUCGAAUUGGCCUGUCUGCUGCAGUGGUCUAAGGUCCGACACGAGGGGGACAGGUGACCGAGACACGUUCGUCCCACUUCGUAAGUCGUCGGCGUUUCUCCGCGAAUCUUGCCGAGCCAAGGGGUUGCCUAUACAGCCAGCUGUAGGAAAGGUUGCAGCCACCAGAGUGAGUGGGGGAAAGAUCAUUGGCCAUGUCGAAGCUAGAAGACACCAUUGAGUUUAUCGGUCAUGUCGACUUGCACUUAAGUAAGUAAUGGUGCAUCCGAAUAUUGUUACGUUGAAGAUACCUUUGGCUGUAAAUGAAGUCAGGGGUUUACACGAUUGCCUUUUAUUUCUUCCAAUGAUUUGCGUCUAAAAUACACUAGGGAAAAGAUGGAUCGGAAGUUCCGAGUUCUAUUCCCAAUCGGUAGAGUACAUUAAGCGAGACCAAUCCAUUUGUUUUCAUGAUCCCCUUUCAUACGCCGUCUUGUUGGUGUAUUGUGAUUUGGAGUAGUGUACGUUUACAUCUGUGGUCAGCUGCUUUGUUAUCAGCUUGUGUUUUCGGCGAAAUAAAGGAUAUACGUUUA